CUCCUGUGUCUCCUUCCCCAG
rnacentral:miRNA from 1 species